rnacentral:rRNA from 1 species
CAUGCAAGUCAACUUGAACUUCGGUUUGGGUGGCGGACGGGUGAGUAACGCGUAAAGAACUUGCCUCACAGAUAGGGACAACAUUUGGAAACGAAUGCUAAUACCUGAUAUUAUGAUUUUAGGGCAUCCUAGGAUUAUGAAAGCUAUAUGCGCUGUGAGAGAGCUUUGCGUCCCAUUAGCUAGUUGGAGAGGUAACGGCUCACCAAGGCGAUGAUGGGUAGCCGGCCUGAGAGGGUGAUCGGCCACAAGGGGACUGAGACACGGCCCUUACUCCUACGGGAGGCAGCAGUGGGGAAUAUUGGACAAUGGACCAAGAGUCUGAUCCAGCAAUUCUGUGUGCACGAUGAAGUUUUUCGGAAUGUAAAGUGCUUUCAGUUGGGAAGAAAAAAAUGACGGUACCAACAGAAGAAGUGACGGCUAAAUACGUGCCAGCAGCCGCGGUAAUACGUAUGUCACAAGCGUUAUCCGGAUUUAUUGGGCGUAAAGCGCGUCUAGGUGGUUAUGUAAGUCUGAUGU